rnacentral:lncRNA from 12 species
AAAAUGUUAAACAGUUGUUAAAUCAAAUCGACCUGAUAAUGGCGCAGCGAGGCCCAUACAAGAAGUAUCCUUUGGAUGUGGAGGCCGAGAUGCCUGCAACUACCAAAAGGCGCUGGUUGCAGGCAAAAGAUGCCCAAACAAUACAUGGCGACAUAUGUUCUGAAAUGGAAUCUCAGGAACCAGCCAAUUCAGAAAAUUUUGAGGUACUUCCAGAAACUGAACAUGAGCAAUACACAGAUUCAGCAAAGAUUGAAGAUGUGGAUGAAUAUCCAGAAGCUGAACCAGAGGAAAGCAAUAAUUCUUUUGACCAUGAGAGGACUAACAGUUCAGAUGAGGAAUCUGAGGAAGUGGAUGACCCACAAAAUGCUGAGUGGAGCAGUGAUGUAAAUUCUCAGACUGCACCUAAGGUUUGUUUGAAUUUGAAAUUAGUUAAGUGUUUAUUUUGAAGUCAUUGGCUAGUAAGUGUUGGAUCAUUCCGUGUCAACUCAACUAGAGGUCCCUGGCAAAAAAUUUUGUUUAUUUUGUUUAUUUAUUUAAAAAUAAAAAUCACAUUAAAUUACAAUCAUAACAGUGGCUGCAGAGGAGCAUUCAUUAGCUAUUUCCACUCCCUAAUUUACAUUUUCACUCGUUUUGAUUUGAAUUAAUAUUAAGACAUUAUGAAUGAUAAUAAAGUUAAUUUGAUCUACAGCUCAACUCAAGCUCAGUGCUUUAUCUUCAGCCCCCCCAGUGCAAACAAAUACUGUCCGUAGAUCUGAGUGGCUCUGGUGCUACUGCCCUCAAAUGUUAGUCUGGAGCCUGUGAACUUAAAAUACAACUGCACAUUGUAAUUUCUGUAAAAGGCAUUUGUUGGUAAUACAGUCAAAAUGGGGGGAAAUGUGAAAAACUGUGUUGCAGGUUGAUUUAAGGUGUGCCUAUAAAUUUUCUGCUUGUGCUCCUAAAAAUGUUCAGUAAGGGGCUUACAGUGCUCCUAGUAAAAAAAAAGUUAGUCUGGAGCCCUGGAUAGUAUUGAAGAAAAAUGUAUAUUAUCAAUUUAUUUUGAAUAUAGCCUUCAUAAUUAAUAACUUUGAUUUGCUGUUGCAAAAUAUGUACAUUAGUGUGUUAAACACGGAACCAGUUUGGUAAUUGCUUCCGGCCGGUGCAAAAUUGCCAUUACGCAGGGUUUUUGGAAAGCGGCUGACUGACAGGAAUAAAAGCAGAAAAAUAGGAAAGUGCAAAUUCCAGAAGAAGUGGCUGGAAGGUGAACAGUUUGGUUGCAGCCCAUUGAUGGGCAAAACGGAGAAGGAUUUUGCUGCAUUUGUAAAAGGGUAUUUAAGCUGGGAACAAUGGAAAUUAACACUGUAAAAUCACAUGCAAUCUGACAGCCACAAAUCAGGGGUAAAAGGCAGACUGCAAUUAACUAUGUCUAUUUAUUUCAACAACUUAUACAAAAGGCUGAUUUUGCUUUACAUAAAUUUGUGAUACAAGUUGCACCGUUAUAUGGCAGAGAACACAUCAGCUUUCAUGUUCAUCAGCUAACACAUUUAACAAGUGAAAGUGACAUGACACACAGCCAAGUAUGGUGACCCAUACUCAGAAUUCGUGCUCUGCAUUUAACCCAUUCAAAGUGCACACACACACCGUGAACACCAAUGAUUUAUGCUGCGGUUCGGUGCCUUGCUCAAGAGCACCUCAGUCGUGGUAUUGUCGGCCCGAGACUCGAACCCACAACCUUAGGGUUAGGAGUCAAACUCUCUAACCACUAGCCCUCGACUUCCCCCAUAAAGCUGAAGGCUGAUUUAGCUGAUACUGUCAAGUUAUGGGGUCCAUUGUGGUGUAUAUCAGCAUUUGCAUUUGAAAGUAAUAAUCAUAAUCUCAUGCUGUAUUUUCAUGGUACCCAGUGUGUUCCUGAACAGAUCUCCCACACAUUUCUCCUUUGGCGUUACAUCUUUAGACAAACAAUAAUAGAACAAAAAAUAGUCUUGUUUUCUGUUACUGCAGGAGACUUAGGGGAAUGAGACAGGUAAAAAAAAUCUGCUCAUUUUAAACUGUCUACAUCUCUUUGGCACUCCAAAAUUUCAACCACUGUCACCAAGCCAACUUGCUGCUAUUAACCGAACAUUUCACAUUAUCGUACUUCAUCCAUUACAGUUUUUCAAAAGAUUUUUACAUGAUGGCAUUUUGUACACUUCCGAUACGUACACAAAAAUGCGAAAGCGCAUUAAUUCUACCACGAUGCUUCAGGAUGGAAGCUUUUUGCAUAUUCAGCAUUUAGUUUUGCUGAGGGAUCAUUGUGACUGUGGAUUUAGUGAUUGUUCCUGCACAUCAAUGCCUUUAAUUCUAGGUCGUCCUCUCAAAUAAAAGCAAAAGCGCCAUUCACAGACAGACAAUUAAACUUCAAUAUUGAUUUUGUGACCGAGGUAACGGAGAGUCUCGAAACAAUUGCAGUUCCGGUUUCAUCACUAAAAAAAAAAAAAAAGUGUUUUCAUCAAGAUUAGGGAAAAGCAGUAUGUGAUCCCAAUUGUAAACACAAUCGAAACAGACUAAAAGCUUAGUUUAGUGUUGUUACAAGCAUCUGAACAGAUAGAUAGCUUUACCCACUUGGGUUAUUAGAUCAAAUAUCUUUAUCUAAAUAUCUAUAAGCUACAUUGUACACCAUACAUUUAAGUUUUAUUAAACAGAUUAGUCCUAGGAGUUCAACACUCUUGUGUCAGGAGAAAUUUUAAUCCACAUUGAAAAAUAAUAAGGAAAUAUGUGUUUUUAAACAUUGUAAACUUCAAAAUCUGUUUACACAAUGAUUCAUAACUACAGUACUCCGUCAUUAAACACACAAGUAGUCCUAUAUAGUAAUGUUAAAAGACAAUCAGAUGUCUAUGUUAUAAGUAGAUGGAAGUUUUAAAAGAGACUGGACUACAGUGGAUUGAUGGUGAUGAGAUUCGCACUAGUAGAGUUUAUGCAGUUGUAAGUGCUUGUGAUGCUAAAAGACAGCACACAGUUUAAUGGCAUGUAUGGAUGUGACUGGUGUCCUUCAUUUGUUAAAAGAAAAUCAUGUCAAUGUACUAGCUGGAUGAACAUGUAUGAAUGUUAAACAUUGUAAACCAUACAAUUAUUUAUUUAUUUAUUUAUUUAUUUAUUUAACAGACCAGUCCAGCAGUUCAACACUCUUGUGUCAUGAGAAAAUUUAAUGCACGCGUACAACAGAAAUGUGUGUGUGUUUUAAACAUUGUAAACUACACAAUUAUCUGUUUACAUAAUGAUUUGUUACUGUACUGUUAUUAAACACAAGUAGUCCUAUAUACUAGUGGUAAAAGACAAUUAGAUGCGCAUGUUAAAAGAUGUAUGGAAAUGUGUAUGUGCUUUUUAAAUAUUUUCUUGGCUUUAUAUGUCUGGAUUAUAUACAGAUAUUUUGAAAUGGUGCUUAAAUUUGGAUGUUGGUAUAGUGUUGAAACACUGUCAUAAAUCAACGGUAAUAAAGAGAUUAAAUAAAAUGAUCAUACAUUUUUUUAGUUCAUUCAUUGAUUGUUCAUUUUAAAACAUG